CUGUUCUUUUGGUGAUCUCUCCAUUAUCCAUCUUCUUUGCUUGUGUAAAAGAGGUACUUGUGCCUGGCCCAGACUUACUACAACAUCUACUCAUUGAGCUUAUGUAUCUUGUAGGGAAGGCUGCAGGCUCUAGUGCUGAUCCGCCGCUUUCCAGUGUGCAUUUGUGCCACGUUUCAACUGUAAGUCCGCUAUAUGUGGUCAUGAUGUUCGUAAUGUUUGUAGGGUUUUGCUGCUUGUGUGUUUUACUUCCUGUAAGUCCACCGUAUUAUUAAUAUAUAGUCUAACUUUUCCAAAAUAACAUUUAAUAUUCAGUUCUUGUCAAGUUGAAUUAACUGAUUCAUCUUCGUAAGGUUAUAUCUAAAAAUAUUAUAUUCAGACAAACAAAUCAUUUUCAUAUUUACAUGGCAUGUGGCACUUGCAAUAAGAAGAUUUUCUUUUUUGUUUAUGGUACAAACAUCAGCCUCAUUGUCUCUUGUAUUAACAAUGCAGCAACUCAAGAUAACUAAUUAGUGAAGGAAGGUCAAAGUGCUUUUGCUUCUACCAGUUGCAGUGAAGUGCUCUUUAGUGUGUAUCUGAAACCUCGCUCACAAUUGAUGUUCACCACUUUUUUAGUUUCUCUGUAGCUUUAUAAAUGUACUCUAAUGAUCAACCGUAUAUUUUGGAUCGGCAUUCUAAGCUACCAACCAUAGUGCUCGGUAGCUAUGAAUUCCGAUCUAAACUAUAAUGAAUCAGUAUGUAAUGUAUGGCCGCAUAGAACCAUAAUGGCUAUGGUAGCCAUGCAUGUAGUGAAGGAUCUUGUAACCUGUGGCUGAACAGAACCAUAAUGGCUGCGAUGGCCAUGCACCUUUGAGUGCUUCAUUUCAUCUAGAUUUCUCUUCUCCUGUGAAAAUGUUAGUUCAUGUUUUGUGCCUACCAAUUUUAGUGGAACAAGAGGCACCGUUUGAUGAAUUACUAGGAUGUGAUGGUUAUAUGUAUAGUGUAUGAUUCGCAGACCAGAUACAAUAGAGCUUGUAUAUUAUUGUGUUAAUUAGAUCUUAGUGUUGUUGUGUAAUUACAGAUCCAUAUCUAUUAAGCGUUGAA
rnacentral:lncRNA from 1 species